AUACGUAGGGGGCGAGCGUUGUCCGGAAUGAUUGGGCGUAAAGGGCGCGUAGGCGGCCCGGUAAGUCUGGAGUGAAAGUCCUGUUUUUAAGAUGGGACUUGCUUUGGAUACUGUCGGGCUUGAGUGCAGGAGAGGUAAGUGGAAUUCCCAGUGUAGCGGUGAAAUGCGUAGAGAUUGGGAGGAACACCAGUGGCGAAGGCGACUUACUGGACUGUAACUGACGCUGAGGCGCGAAAGUGUGGGGAGCAAACAGGAUUAGAUACCCUGGUAGUCCACACUGUAAACGAUGAAUGCUAGGUGUAGGGGGUAUCGACCCCUUCUGUGCCGCAGUCAACACAGUAAGCAUUCCGCCUGGGGAGUACGGCCGCAAGGUUGAAACUUAAAGGAAUUGACGGGG
rnacentral:rRNA from 1 species